rnacentral:tRNA from 1 species
CGAAAUCGGUAGACGCUACGGACUUAAAAUCCGUCGACUUGAAAAAUCGUGAGGGUUCAAGUCCCUCUAUCCCC